CACGUAGGCACCAAACGUUGUCCGGAUUUAUUGGGCGUAAAGAGCUCGUAGGCGGUUCAGUAAGUCGGGUGUGAAAACUCAGGGCUCAACCCUGAGCGGCCACCCGAUACUGCUGUGACUUGAGUCUGGUAGGGGAGUGGGGAAUUCCUGGUGUAGCGGUGAAAUGCGCAGAUAUCAGGAGGAACACCGGUGGCGAAGGCGCCACUCUGGGCCACGACUGACGCUGAGGAGCGAAAGCAUGGGUAGCAAACAGG
rnacentral:rRNA from 1 species